GCUAUCCUCGCCAUAUAUUGCAAACAUUUUCUGGGUUUUACUCGCGGGAUUCGUCAUGCCAUCUCGAUGUGUAGCGAUAUUAAUUACUCACAGGAAGACUCGAGACUCUAGGAGUGGUCCAAAAAAAAAACUUCUCCUGCAAAGCCACGACAGCUUUGAAAACCUACAACAAUGCAACCUUGGUUUUCCAAAGACGAAGCCAAACAUAAAAAAUUAAGUGGCGGAAACCCUCAACACGAUGAAAAAAGCGUUGCAAGUCAGUUGCCACCCAGUUUCCCAAAAUCAAGAGAGAGUGGGUCGAGUCAUAUGAUG